rnacentral:rRNA from 1 species
GGAUCCAGACUUUGAUCCUGGUCAGGAUGAACGCUAGCUACAGGCUUAACACAUGCAAGUCGAGGGGAAACCGACAUCGAAAGCUUGCUUUUGAUGGGCGUCGACCGGCGCACGGGUGAGUAACGCGUAUCCAACCUGCCCAUCACUUGGGGAUAACCUUGCGAAAGUAAGACUAAUACCCAAUGAUAUCUCUAGAAGACAUCUGAAAGAGAUUAAAGAUUUAUCGGUGAUGGAUGGGGAUGCGUCUGAUUAGCUUGUUGGCGGGGUAACGGCCCACCAAGGCGACGAUCAGUAGGGGUUCUGAGAGGAAGGUCCCCCACAUUGGAACUGAGACACGGUCCAAACUCCUACGGGAGGCAGCAGUGAGGAAUAUUGGUCAAUGGACGAGAGUCUGAACCAGCCAAGUAGCGUGCAGGACGACGGCCCUAUGGGUUGUAAACUGCUUUUAUAAGGGAAUAAAGUGAGAGUCGUGACUCUUUUUGCAUGUACCUUAUGAAUAAGGACCGGCUAAUUCCGUGCCAGCAGCCGCGGUAAUACGGAAGGUCCGGGCGUUAUCCGGAUUUAUUGGGUUUAAAGGGAGCGUAGGCCGGAGAUUAAGCGUGUUGUGAAAUGUAGACGCUCAACGUCUGCACUGCAGCGCGAACUGGUUUCCUUGAGUACGCACAAAGUGGGCGGAAUUCGUGGUGUAGCGGUGAAAUGCUUAGAUAUCACGAAGAACUCCGAUUGCGAAAGGCAGCUCACUGGAGCGCAACUGACGCUGAAGCUCGAAAGUGCGGGUAUCGAACAGGAUUAGAUACCCUGGUGGUCCGCACGGUAAACGAUGGAUGCCCGCUGUUGGUCUGAAUAGGUCAGCGGCCAAGCGAAAGCAUUAAGCAUCCCACCUGGGGAGUACGCGGCAACGGUGAAACUCAAAUGGCAUUGACGG